UCCAAAUUUCUUUGCGCAUGACUAUGCGCCAUGUUUGAUGUUUGAUCGUUGCUCGCAUUCAAGGUAUCGGCUGUUUAUCUUUAUACAUGUGUUUGUGACAAGUGACAAUUUGUUUGUGUAAAUUUUCGUGUUUGGCGUUUUCAUAAUAUUUUAUAAUUGUUGAAAAAAGUAUAUUAAUAUUAAAAAUUAUUAAAAUAAACUAUAAUUGUGAUGGCUGCACGCAAAGGUGGAAUUUCUUGUGUGGUUCGUGGAUGCCAGACUAGAUCUGGGGAACAAAUAAGUCUUUUUUCAAUACCACGAGAUCGUAGCAGAGCUGAAUUAUGGCUAAAAGCUGCAAUUAGGGAAGAUUUACUUUCAAAGGAUGUCAAUGAAUUGCACAAAAAUUAUAGAAUGUGUGAGAAACAUUUUCAACCACAUUUCAUAUCGAAGGGGGAAACGUAAGAAAAAAUUUAUUUAUACAAGCUCAUCCUACGAUAUUCCCAUACAACCAAGAUGUACAAUCUGCAGAUGAACCCUUAAGAAAAAUCAUAAGACUUGAAACACAGAUUGAAGCUUAAAUGUGGUCCACUUAACGUAGCUAAAUGAGUAGCAUUAUCCUAUAAAGGAGUUCUUCAACUCUUGCAAUGGUAAGAAUCGAUGAAAUACAAAAUGGAAGAACUGAUGAAGAAUGUGAAGGUAUAUGGGCAGUUUCAGGUAAAAUCCUUUGUGGAUCCGAAUGAAUUAUAUAAUGUAGGUUUAAGACAAGUAUGUGAAAGUGAGUGUUAGACAUUGUUUUGUAGAGUGUGUAAAAUUUGUAUUCUCCGUUACCAGUGCAGUUGUGAUGAAUAUUUGGUGAGGAAUACCUUGUGUAAGCAUGUGCACUUGGUAAGAAUGUAUGAGUAGCAUGUGGGUACUAAUUCUGUUUUAGAUGAUGCUGCAAGGUGUUUGGAGAAACUUCAAUUAUCAAAUCAAGGCAUGAGGAGGAAAGUAAUGAGUUUGUCAGAGGGAAGGUAGAAAAGAUAAUUUGAUUCAGGAAAACACCAAACGAAGUCUUCAAAGUGAAAACAUCAUUAAUGCGGUGGACGAAUUAGAUGACCAAGAUUUUAUCAAAUUUACGAGUGAGUUUCAAGGAAUUAUGGAAAAAUUUCAGAAAAUUACAAAGAAGCGAAAAAUGGAAAAGCAGGAGUAUUUUCAAAUAAAGAAAGAAAUUGAGUAAUAAUUAAAUUUGAACAUUUUUUUAGCUCACAAGUAUUUUGUCUUCUGUAUCUGUAUUGAAUUUUUAUUAUAGUUGUAUAGGCUUUACAAGAACGUUAGUUAAUUUAACAUUAUUAUAGAUUUUACUUGAUUAGCAAUAUUAGUAAUAUGUGUGCAUACUUAGGUUAGGUCUGAAUUUUAAAGUCAUGUUAAGUAAUGUUAUUUAUAGACUUUUAUAUCAGAGUUGUAUUUUUAUCUGGAUGUACUACGUCUUCGGCGAGGUUUAGAGGGGUUUUACCUUCGCCAUUUUACCAAUAAGGACGUUCCCUCCUUUGAUUUCCCAGAUAUUUAAUAAAGAAUAAAAACAUAUUAAACUA
rnacentral:lncRNA from 1 species